GGCAGAUGGAACUUACAGGGGUGAGGAGCCCCAGGAGUGCCUUUUGGGUUCCCCCAGAGGAGCCCACGGGCCAUUGGGAAGCAAAGGUUUCAGAAAAUUAACGACCCCAAGGGCCUGAGACCUCAAAGUCAGAGUCUGCCCUGCCCAGAGCGCGUCUGAUUCAAACCGUCCUCACCUCAUCCCAGGCGCCCCACCUCACCUGCAGAAAGGGCUUCACAGAUGGACUGGGGAGGAGACGGGGCGGCCUGCGUCCAGCCUGGGGACCACAGUCGCCUCUUCUUAGGGGCAGCUCAGGCCCGAGCAGAAGGGAACUGGAUGGGGGUCCCCCCUUCCCUUCUCUGAGGGCACCCGGGACCCAGCUGGGGCCCAGGGAGGAAGGACGGCAAACUCUGGGCAGCCUCUCUCCUUGACAUUCUUCUUUGACCUCUGAGUAAAUCCCGGUGAGCUGAGUGAGGGGCAGUGGGCCAGGCCCCCCAUUCUUCUUCCUGUGUGGGCUGAGCGGUUUCAGGAGCAGAGUGAGCCAGGGCGCGGGCUCCCUGGGAAGAGCCCGGGGAGGUCCCCGGUGAUUUCCCCUCCUGCGGGCCCUCCUGGCCCGAUCGGUUGGCCUGGGCAUCGCCACCUGUCUCCCCUGGAAGCUCCUGCGCGUUCGCUGCCUCUCACUGGCACGAGGACAACCCCGCAGCGUGUGUGCCCUGACUCGCUGCUGGCGGUGUCCGGGUGCCCGCCGCCCAGGCGGGUUCCCGGCUCCGCGAGGCGCUAGUGGGGCCUCGGGUCGCUAGGGUAGUAACGCGUCCGCCACAUGCCGUGGCACUGCCGGUCCACUUGGAGUCUGGCCCGGUCACUGAGCGUGUGUACUUCUCGUCCCCCGCUGGAAGAUUCGGGAAGUCCCAAUUCCCGGGCGCGGAGGGCCACGUGGACGGGCGGGUUUUCCGACGUCUGGGCGGGAGUCCGACCCGGACGCUGCGCCUCGCUGGACGCGGGGACUGCCCGUCACUUGCGUCCAG
rnacentral:lncRNA from 1 species